rnacentral:rRNA from 1 species
GACGAACGCUGGCGGCGUGCCUAACACAUGCAAGUCGAACGGGACUUGAGGGGCUUGCUCCUCAAGUUUAGUGGCGAACGGGUGAGUAACGCGUGAGAAACCUGCCUCUCAGUGGGGGACAACAGUUGGAAACGACUGCUAAUACCGCAUAACAUAUCCGGAGGGCAUCCUCUGGAUAUCAAAGCUUUAUGUGCUGAGAGAUGGUCUCGCGUCUGAUUAGCUAGAUGGCGGGUAAGGCCCACCAUGGCGACGAUCAGUAGCCGGUCUGAGAGGAUGAACGGCCACAUUGGGACUGAGAUACGGCCCAGACUCCUACGGGAGGCAGCAGUGGGGAANAUUGGCAAUGGGGGAAACCCGUAGACCCAAGCAAACGACCGCCGUUGAAGGAAAGAAAGGA